AGCCUGCACAUCCCUGAACACUCUGGACAAUUUAGUAUAGCUAAUUCACCCAACCCAUUACAUCUUUGGACUGUGGGAGGAAACCGGAGCACCCGGAGGAAACCCACGCAGACACGGGGAGAAUGUGCAAACUCCACACAGGCAGACACUGUGGAUGGAACCAAACCUGGGUUGCUGGUGCUGUGAGGCAGAAGUGCUAAUCACUGAGCCACCAUGACACCUCAAUUUCUAUAACAUUUCCAGUAUAGUGCUGGGGAAAUUACCAUUUCAGUCUUUAAAUUGAACUACAUUUACUUAUGACAGAAAAAGCAAUUCUGUUGAUUUAAAAAAGUGUGAGUUGAACAUGGCAGUAAAAAUACUACGGACUAACUUUCCUUUUGUUGCUUAUUUCCAAUGAAGUGCUUAAUAUUAUUGAUUGAAAUGCCUCUGACAAGGAAUGCCUGAAAUCUUACUGAGCUACAGUGACCAGUGUUCCCUCAAAGCUGCACAGAGCGUAGUCCAGUAUAAAGAUUAAUGUUACCUCGCAAAAUUGAGGUAUUGGAAAGCCAAAUUUCAUUUUGGCAAGACAGACAAAUUAUUGCCAGAGCUGAACACUGGAGAGCCAGUCAGAUUACAAACCUUCAACGUUUUUGACAAGAAUCAGUUCAAGUGGCAAACUGGAUAAUACACAGCUCAGUUGUCAGCUCGAUUAAACAUGGUGGAAGUGAAUGAACAGAUAUAACAUAACAGUCACAGCUGCACAAUUGGAGAAGUUGAUACUUCAAUACAGGCAACUCCUUAGCUUGAACUCAUAAGCCACAACUUAGCUAUUAGUCCCAGAGGUCCAGAGCGCCCAUCAACAGAAAGAGAACAACAGGUACUGCAGCGACAAGUGAAUUACCCAAGUGAACAGCCAAUGACAACAAAUAUAAGUGACUAGCUGGAUUGUGUGCCAGAUACAUUUGCAGAGACGGAAGAGAAUAAUGAUUGUUAACAUAAGCCAACAGCUGAGUAACUCGCGAUGCAAAUGUUAAUGCGUACAACUUGUCUUGUACAAAAAGGGAGAUGUUUGGGAUAGAAAAGAAUUACUGUGCUUAUAUGCCUCCUGUCUUGCUGUAGUUAUAUGACCUCUCCCAUGAGGUAGUCCCUGCAAGCAAUUAUCUUCCAGUCGGUUCAGUAAGGUACAGCACAAGCGAGAUUGUUAUCCUGUUCAGCUGUGACAAGCUCAAUGCUCCAGAUGUCUCCCUUCUCCAGCUCCCUCACACAUUCUUUUAGCUCCUCGAUGACCUUCAAUGUUGGCAUUACAUUAAGCAACAUUAACUAAACAUUCCAAGACCCAAAAGAACUCCAGAACAUAUGUUUCACAGCAUAAGAUAAACUAAGAACACAAAAUAGUUUUGAAUAUGUACUGCCAUAUUUAUCCUCAGCGAAGAAUAAAUAUAUACACAGGAAAAUUGAAACCUUUCCAUGCUGUUUUAUGUGAUAACAGUGCAGCCUUACAGAUUUGUUAACAUUCUUGUCAGGUAGCGAUAGAUUUGCCCCUCCAGUCUUUUAAACUACAAAACUAAAAAUGAACUCAAAUGAACUUCUUAAUCAAUCUCCCAACCUCAAUCUCUAGCACAGAAUAUAUUCUGCACACCGAAGCAAGCAACAGAUCUGGUUGUGGAGUGCCCACAAGAUUGAUAAACGCCAUAAGUAGAAUUAAAUGAAUUUGAAUGACUA